rnacentral:rRNA from 1 species
CCUACGGGUGGCUGCAGUGGGGAAUAUUGGGCAAUGGGCGCAAGCCUGACCCAGCAACGCAGCGUGAAGGAAGAAGGCUCUCGGGUUGUAAACUUCUUUUGUCAGGGAAGAGUAGUAGACGGUACCUGACGAAUAAGCCACGGCUAACUACGUGCCAGCAGCCGCGGUAAUACGGAGGUGGCAGGCGUUGUCCGGAUUUACUGGGUGUACAGGGCGUGUAGCCGGGUUGACAAGUCAGAUGUGAAAUCCUGCGGCUUAACCGCAGAAUUGCAUUUGAAACUGUUGAUCUUGAGUAUUGGGGAGGCAGACGGAAUUCCUAGUGUAGCGGUGAAAUGCGUAGAUAUUAGGAGGAACACCAGUUGCGAAGGCGGUCUACUGAACAGCAACUGACAGUGAGGCGCGAAAGCGUGGGGAGCAAACAGGAUUAGAUACCCUUGUAGUC